GAUGAACGCUGGCGGCAUGCCUAAUACAUGCAAGUCGAGCGAACAGACGAGGAGCUUGCUCCUCCGACGUUAGCGGCGGACGGGUGAGUAACACGUGGAUAACCUACCUAUAAGACUGGGAUAACUUCGGGAAACCGGAGCUAAUACCGGAUAAUAUAUUGAACCGCAUGGUUCAAUAGUGAAAGACGGUUUUGCUGUCACUUAUAGAUGGAUCCGCGCCGCAUUAGCUAGUUGGUAAGGUAACGGCUUACCAAGGCAACGAUGCGUAGCCGACCUGAGAGGGUGAUCGGCCACACUGGAACUGAGACACGGUCCAGACUCCUACGGGAGGCAGCAGUAGGGAAUCUUCCGCAAUGGGCGAAAGCUUGACGGAGCAACGCCGCGUGAGUGAUGAAGGUCUUCGGAUCGUAAAACUCUGUUAUUAGGGAAGAACAAAUGUGUAAGUAACUAUGCACGUCUUGACGGUACCUAAUCAGAAAGCCACGGCUAACUACGUG
rnacentral:rRNA from 1 species